UACGUAGGGUGCAAGCGUUAAUCGGAAUUACUGGGCUUAAAGCGUGCGCAGGCGGUUGUGCAAGACAGGUGUGAAAUCCCCGGGCUUAACCUGGGAAUGGCAUUUGUGACUGCACGGCUAGAGUGUGUCAGAGGGGGGUAGAAUUCCACGUGUAGCAGUGAAAUGCGUAGAGAUGUGGAGGAAUACCGAUGGCGAAGGCAGCCCCCUGGGCCUGCACUGACGCUCAUGCACGAAAGCGUGGGGAGCAAACAGG
rnacentral:rRNA from 1 species